AACGUAGGGGGCAAGCGUUGCCCGGAUUCACUGGGCGUAAAGCGCGUGUAGGCGGUCCGUUAAGUCGGAUGUGAAAUCUCCAGGCUCAACUUGGAAACUGCAUCCGAUACUGGCGGACUUGAGGACGGUAGAGGUCGGUGGAAUGGCCAGUGUACCGGUGAAAUGGACAGAGAUUGGCCAGAACACCAGUGGCGAAGGCGGCCGACUGGGCCGUUCCUGACGCUGAGACGCGAAAGCCAGGGGAGCGAACCGG
rnacentral:misc_RNA from 1 species